AUUGAACGCUGGCGGCAUGCUUUACACAUGCAAGUCGAACGGUAACAGGUUAAGCUGACGAGUGGCGAACGGGUGAGUAAUGCAUCGGAACGUGCCCGAUCGUGGGGGAUAACGCAGCGAAAGCUGCGCUAAUACCGCAUACGAUCUGAGGAUGAAAGCGGGGGACCGUAAGGCCUCGCGCGAUCGGAGCGGCCGAUGUCAGAUUAGGUAGUUGGUGGGGUAAAGGCUCACCAAGCCAACGAUCUGUAGCUGGUCUGAGAGGACGACCAGCCAGACUGGGACUGAGACACGGCCCAGACUCCUACGGGAGGCAGCAGUGUGGAAUUUUGGACAAUGGGCGAAAGCCUGAUCCAGCAAUGCCGCGUGCAGGAAGAAGGCCUUCGGGUUGUAAACUGCUUUUGUACGGAGCGAAAAGGCCCUCUCUAAUACAGUGGGCUCAUGACGGUACCGUAAGAAUAAGCACCGGCUAACUACGUGCCAGCAGCCGCAGUAA
rnacentral:rRNA from 1 species